rnacentral:misc_RNA from 1 species
GAUGAAGAACGCAGCGAAAUGCGAUAAGUAAUGUGAAUUGCAGAAUUCCGUGAAUCAUCGAAUCUUUGAACGCACAUUGCGCCCUCUGGUAUUCCGGGGGGCAUGCCUGUCCGAGCGUCAUUUCAACCCUCAAGCCCCGCUUGGUGUUGGGCCCCGCCCGCUGUGGCCGGCCCUAAAGACAGUGGCGGCGCCGCCUGGCCCUCAGCGUAGUACAUCUCUCGCUCCAGGGUCCGGUGGCCGCCUGCCAGAACCCCCCAACUCUGUGGUUGACCUCGGAUCAGGUAGGGAUACCCGCUGAACUUAAGCAUAUCAAUAAGCGGAGGA